GCGCCUGUAGCUCAGGGGAUAGAGCAAUGGAUUCCUAAUCCAUGUGUCGGGGGUUCAAGUCCUCCCAGGCGUACCA
rnacentral:tRNA from 1 species